AAUUGUGAAUUUCAACUGUGAAUGUACAAGUCUUUACUGUGGGCAAAAAAAAUCACAUCUUUUUGUGAUGGGAAGCAAAGAGAUCUUAGGUGUCCCUUCAAAUAACAAGGCUGAAGCUAAUUUAGAUGCUGGACAAGGUUUAGAAAAAAGAAAAGGAAAAAGAAAAGAAAAAGAUCCAUAGGAGCCAAACCGAGUAGCUUUACUUAAUGACUGGAAGGACUGAAAGCUCAGAGAAUAACUUGAUAGUACAGAACAUUACUUGAAACUGGGCUCAAGACUCCUCAGGCUUAAGAAUUCAACCACCCUACAUUGGACUGAAAGGAGCUUUAAGGAGAAAUUCCAUCACUUUAGCACCAAGCAAAGCAAGCAAAAGAGAGCCCAGACUUCUGACUUAAUUUCCUUGGCCACACACUCGUUUGAACCCUUCUUCUGUUGUGCAGAUAGCCACCAGAGGGCAUAAAUGUCACCUUAUGAACCCUGUAGCAAUAAAAAAGAAAUUGAAAUAACAAAAUUAAUAAUUAUUAAAUGAGGUUGACAGAUGUCAAACAAAGCAGGCUAGCUGCUCCAUGCCAGUGCGUACAUGUGUCCAGAAUUAAAACAAUGCCUUGGGACUGUAACAGGAAAGCUCUGGGACAAAUCACAAAUCCCGCACUCAUUUCUUAGCUAUGAAGUAAUCUCAUUCACCAAAAUCCAGAGGACUUUACAUUUUAACACACUCCAUAUUCGCAUUGGCACCCACAGAAGCUUGACUGAGGAAAAAAGGGCAGGAACGCAGAUGCUGAAAUGUGAACCGCGGCGCCUUGGAAGUGCAUCCCAGCCAAUGAAGCUUAGAGAAGCCGAGGAGUUUACAUGGCGAAGGCAUUUCCUACGAUCUCCCAUUCAGGCACUAAACCGGCUGAGGGCUCUUUUGCUUCAGAAGCAGAACAAGACAGAGUGUCUUCCACCCUAGACCUUGGAAAGGGACUAUUAAGGAAAAUGAAUACAAUGGCGUACUGAAGCCAUCCACAACCGAGCAGGAUGAGGAGGAUGCUGUGGCUCCAGCUGCUGCAUCAUCUUACCGCUGCUUACAGGUAAGUGCAGCAUGUCCUCGCAUGGAUUUGUCUAAAAAAGCAGUUGUCAAAGAUCUGCUCAAACCAUUAUUUGAAGGAAACCAAAGGCAGUGAGCAGUGAAUUCCAGCAGGUCCAACAGCUCCUCUGGUUUGGUGCCCAGAAAGUGUUGCAGACUGACGUCAGUCAAGGAAUGGUGGGAGCCUUUUCUUUCCAACCAAACAUGAAACACAUCUUGGGGCCCUGGGUUAGGGUGGAGUUGCAGCCUCCCUGACUUAGAUUCAGAUGGCUGCUCUUGAGAACCAGCAAACCAGUUGCAUUCAGGUGCCAAAAAAAAGAGACCAGACAUUUCUGGCCAGUAAGAUGUUGUCAAGCAUGUUGUCAUUUUCCCCGCUCUUCAUACCAACCAUCAUUUCUCCCCUUUUCCCAGAUGUUACCAGAAAAUUGCUGCCUUGAUCUAAGCCAGCAAAGGACAAUGGUUACAGAUUUAUCUGUUAUAAAUAUAGAAGCUGCAGUUCUGUUUUCUGAUAGCUCGUUACUUAUUCUUCUUGUCAUCUAAAACCAAUGUGAAGUUAGUUUAAUGUUGCCUUAGUGGUCCUCUCUCUUUUUCUGCGUAUGUGUUAGAUACAGUUGUUUGGCUUGGAGCGGAGCUGCAUCUGUUAGCGAUGUAGAAAAAUGUCGGGCAUGAAACAUGUUUUCUCGCACACAUGUAAAAGUCUGGGCCGCUCAAAGGUGCAUAUCUUCCCCUGGCCUCUGCCAAAAACCAUAAUUUAUAAUGGCUGAACAAGUGGUUCCGUAAAGCAGAGAUGAAAUUAUGGUUUGAAACAGGGACGUUCUAAUGUCUGCCAGAUGAUAAUCCUGAAGGUUUGUGCACUCAGAAUUUAG
ensembl:lncRNA